rnacentral:rRNA from 1 species
UACAGAGGGGGCAAGCGUUGUUCGGAAUUACUGGGCGUAAAGGGCGCGUAGGCGGCCUCUUAAGUCGAACGUGAAAUCCCCGGGCUCAACCCGGGAACUGCGUCCGAUACUGGGAGGCUUGAAUCCGGGAGAGGGAUGUGGAAUUCCAGGUGUAGCGGUGAAAUGCGUAGAUAUCUGGAGGAACACCGGUGGCGAAGGCGGAUCUCUGGGCCUUACCUGACGCUCAGGCGCGAAAGCUAGGGGAGCGAACAGG